rnacentral:rRNA from 1 species
GACGUAGGUGGCGAACGUUAUCCGGAAUCAUUGGGCGUAAAGGGUGCGUAGAUGGCAUAAUAAGUUAUUGGUGGGAAAUCGAGGCUCAACCUCGUGGAAGCUAGUAAUACUGUUUUGCUUGAGUGCAGAAGAGGUUAACGGAACUCCAUGUGGAGCGGUAAAAUGCGUAGAUAUAUGGAAGAACAUCAAUAACGGCGAAGGCAGUUAACUAUUCUGUUACUGACAUUGAGGCACGAAAGCGUGGGGAGCAAAACGG